GCCCUGCCUCGCCGCGGAGCAGCCGGACACGCUGCACCACGUCCAGGACCUUCUGCAGCUGGUGGUGGUGGCCAAGGGGCCGGUGGGACCACCAGCGAGGGCCGAGGACGCCCGGACAUCUCAGGGAGAGGGCCCAGGGGGGCCCGGGGAGCAGGGGGACCUGCAUUCCCAGCUGCAGUCCCUGGAAGGGGUGCUGGAGACCAGCCAACAAACCAUCCGGGUGCUGCUGGACGUCAUCCAGGACCUGGAGAAGAAGGAGGCGCAGCGGGAUGGGCGACACUCGUACCGGACCGGGCAGGACAUCGCCAACUGCGGGACCUGCCGGGACUGUGCCUGCAUCAUCUACAGGUGAGGGCCAGCCCUGGCUCCGAGCAUCCCACGGCUUCUGAUUCCCUGCACUCCCACACUUCUCCACUGGCUGUGGGGCAGGAGGGAGGGUGACAAUCCUGCACCUCCUGUCCCCGUGUUGGGGGCACCACACACAGACCACUCUUGGGUGUCUGGGCUGUCACUUGGGCUGGAUCUGUCCCUUCCUCCCCGCGGGGAGCAGCUCCUGCUCCCAGGAUCAGCCAGGGUGAUCUCCACGGAGGAGCAGCAGCUGGAAGGGGGCUGCUCUGGCACGAUGGCAGAGCAUUUAUCUCAGCAAUCUAUCGGGGAAGCCUCGCUAGCGGCUGCUGCGUGGGCUCGCUCCAAAUGCAGCCUGCAUCCUGUUGUCCCUGUGCCAGCUCUGCACAGAUGCUGCAGAUGGGUUCCUGCCCCUCGCUAUGGUUUGGGAACACAGGGCCUGGGCUCUGCUUCCCAGCAUUGGCGUGGAAGCCCCUUCCUCUGCUGCGCUGUCUCCUCAGAUCCCAUUUGGUGUGUGGGAAAAGGCAUCUCGUGCCAUCCCAGCAUUAUCUUUAGGGAAAUUGGGAGGGUUGCAGUUUUGCUAAAGCUUUUCUGCCCUUCCUGGGUGUCCUUCUGUCCCUCUGGCCGUCCCCUCUGCAGUGCAGGUGGCUGGCCAGGCGUGUUCCCGUUUUGCUGUUAAUUAGGUGGAUGCUGUUAGCGCUGGGAUGUGUAGGACGCGGUGAGCCGGUCCCAAGCCAUGCUCUGUGGUGCCUGACCACCGUGGUGCACGUGUGGGCCACUGCCCUGCCAUGCUCUGUGAGCACUGUGCCCCCUCCUCGGGGCACCUCAGGCUGGGGGUGCCCAGCUCGUGUCCCCUCGUGUCCCCUGUGCUCAGCAGUGCUGCUGCCCCAGCUCUCCUGCUCCCCACACACCCCUGCUGCAGCUCAUGGGGGACUUCAGGCUAAUUAGGCCUGACGAGCCUGUCUCCACGCAGCAUGGCAGUGGCACAGAUGUCACAUCUGGGGGAGGUGGCUCCCCGGAAUGGCCAUUCCCGCUGAGGACUCGCUGUGGGUUUUGUUGCCACCCGUGGGGUGAGGAGAAGCUCUGUGGGGACACAGGGGGAGGGAGCACCCCCAGCACCAGAGACGGCCCAUGGAGGGGAUCAGACCUGCCUGCCCCUGUCCCACCUCAGGGUCCCACAGCGGUGCCGACCCCUCCCCGUGUCCCUGCAGAGGAGUUGAGGUCCCUCCCCGCUCUGCCCCCUCCAUUACGGUCUGCACCCCUCGCCCUUUCUUCUAGAAGUGGCUGGGUCGCUCCUUGUCCUGGGAGGGGAGGUGACAGGAGGUGACAGGAGGUGACAGGAGGUGAC